CAGUAAGUAGUAUAAAAUUGUAUACAUAGUUUCGGCCUAUGAGGAGGGUUAGUCAACCUUUUACUGU
rnacentral:tRNA from 1 species